UACAGAGGGUGCAAGCGUUAAUCGGAAUUACUGGGCGUAAAGCGUGUGUAGGUGGUUUGUUAAGUCAGGUGUGAAAUCCCUGGGCUCAACCUAGGAAUUGCAUUUGAUACUGACAAGCUUGAGUGCGGUAGAGGGUAGUGGAACUCCCGGUGUAGCGGUGAAAUGCGUAGAUAUCGGGAAGAACACCAGUGGCGAAGGCGGCUACCUGGACUGACACUGACACUGAGACACGAAAGCGUGGGGAGCAAACAGG
rnacentral:rRNA from 1 species